rnacentral:rRNA from 1 species
UACGUAGGGACCGAGCGUUGUCCGGAAUUAUUGGGCGUAAAGAGCGUGUAGGCGGUUCGGUAAGUCUGCCGUGAAAACCUGGGGCUCAACCCCGGGCGUGCGGUGGAUACUGCCGGGCUAGAGGGUGGUAGAGGCGAGUGGAAUUCCCGGUGUAGCGGUGAAAUGCGCAGAUAUCGGGAGGAACACCGGUGGCGAAGGCGGAUCUCUGGACAGUUACUGACACUGAGGCACGAAGGCCAGGGGAGCAAACGGG